GAAAUGCGAUAACUAGUGUGAAUUGCAGAAUUCCGUGAAUCAUCGAGUCUUUGAACGCACAUUGCGCCCCCUGGUAUUCCGGGGGGCAUGCCUGUCCGAGCGUCAUUGCUGCCCAUCAAGCACGGCUUGUGUGUUGGGUCGUCGUCCCCUCUCCGGGGGGGACGGUCCCCAAAGGCAGCGGCGGCACCGCGUCCGAUCCUCGAGCGUAUGGGGCUUUGUCACCCGCUCUGUAGGCCCGGCCGGCGCUUGCCGAACGCAAAUCAAUCUUUUUCCAGGUUGACCUCGGAUCAGGUAGGGAUACCCGCUGAACUUAAGC
rnacentral:misc_RNA from 1 species